GUUUGUUUUUGCUGGCACUUCAUUAUCAAAAGGCUAACUGCUUUACAGCGCCUCCUGCUGCUCCCCCCGGAGGAAACCUGUGCACGUUUGGAUUUCAGCCCUCCGAUUAAAAGGGCAGUUUGCGGAAUAUUAAGGCAUUUCCUCAAGAAUGUUCAGACUUCAGAUAGGAAUCUACUUUCCUCUGCGUCCACAGACGAGUGUAGUGGUUUGGGUGGGAGGCUGUCAGCUUCAGGCAGUCUGGAGGUGUUAGGUGAGCGGAUGGCUUUAGGGGUCCUGGCCACAGCUUCGAGGAGCGUGAGGUGAAUGAACAGAAUGCCUGUGCCCACCAUGUGUGACCACUAAUGAAGACGCUCCCAGACAGGACCCUAUCACCCUGGCAACAAGAUGUCUUCAUAAACAAGCUGCAUGACAUUGGCAGGCCACUUCCUGGUAGUAUAUGGCGACCUGCUUUUUCGCAAAGCCAGAUCACAGGCGUGACUCAGGGGAUGUGAACAAAUUUAGAACCCGAUAAAGAAACGUAAAAAUAAUAUAAUUUCAAUUCACGUUGUUGUCGCUAAAUGUUGAUCAUCUCUAAAAUUACCUUGAGCUUUUCUUAUGUCAACCCUCGUCCUCACCGCCCUCGUGUAAAUGCACCAGAUUAUUUGAACGUGUUUUUAAAAACCGUCUCAUUGUAGUACAGUCAUAAACCUGCCACAUUGCUCUUCCUGCAAGGGGGCUUUAACAUUUUCCCCUCAGCCAGUUUACACUUAGACUUGUCACCUGCCAAACACAAAGUGCUUGACAACAGCGAACCAUGGGAGAUGUGUUUUUGACAAUUUUAACAGAGAAAUCAUAGCAUCUGCUGUGAGGAAAUAUGGUAAUAGAUUUAAAAUGGCCGCAUCGGCUUGUCGUCUUGCCAACACAUUUUGCUUUUAACUUAUACGUGCGAUACAUGCAAAAAUGAAAGAACAAUUUAACUGAUAUCCAUGUUCAAGUGGUAAAUUAAAAAAAAUUUUUUGGGGGGGUUAUCCUUUACAGGCUUUUAAUGUUUGGAGUAUAAGCGACUAGACUUUCCAAAGAGGGAAGUUAAAGGAUAGCUUGUUCAAUCAUUUUUUUCUUGUUCUCAACCAUUUUAUGUGUUUGAAUUAGAACAGUAUUAUUUUUAUAUGAAUACAGUCAUAAUUGAAUUAUCAUAAUCAUCGUGUUUUUCUUUGCCUUUUUUAUUUUGCAAGCUUCUCUGUGAUUUCAAACAUGAAAACGUGGCUUUUGUGAUGGAUCAAGAAUA